rnacentral:rRNA from 1 species
GUAGGUGGCAAGCGUUGUCCGGAAUUAUUGGGCGUAAAGCGCGCGCAGGCGGUUCGUUUAAGUCUGAUGUGAAAGCCCACGGGCUCAACCGUGGAGGGUCAUUGGAAACUGGAGAACUUGAGUACAGAAGAGGAAAGCGGAAUUCCACGUGUAGCGGUGAAAUGCGUAGAGAUGUGGAGGAACACCAGUGGCGAAGGCGGCUUUCUGGUCUGUAACUGACGCUGAGGCGCGAAAGCGUGGGGAGCAAACAGGAUUAGAUACCCUGGUAGUCCACGCCGUAAACGAUGAGUGCUAAGUGUUAGGGGGGUUUCCGCCCCUUAGUGCUGCAGCUAACGCAUUAAGCACUCCGCCUGGGGAGUACGGCCGCAAAGGCUG